GCAUUCAGUGAGAGAUCAGGAUUGGCAUAAGCUGACUCCACGUGCCAAGUCAUGUGCCCUAGAGUUCUUGUGCUAGCAUUGGUUUUCUUUGACUCAGAAAGCGUCAGCCAUAAUGUAGGAUGAAAGGGAGAAGAACCAUGCAGUAAUCACACUGUGUCCAGUUCUCAUGCUGAAUUAGCAUAAAAAUGUCUUGGAUCACACAUACAUUCGAGAACUUGCUGUGGGAGAUUGUCACUCGUCUGAUGGCUAUGACAGUCAGCAUCAUAUUGACUUCUCUUUGUCAAGACAGACAGCCUUACUGCUAGGAUCCAAUUCUGUAAAAUGCAUAUCACUGAAAGCUGUAUGUGAUCCUAGUUAAAACUCACCUUUCUGCAUGAAACUGGACACGUGUAUGUUUUGACUGGUGGCAAGGCAUAAGCUGAGUUUUCCAGCUGAUGCUGCUUCUUUGAAUACCUGUUUGCACUGGGAGAAUGCUAGAUGUGUUUCAGAGGAAGCCUGCCAAAAUUUCAAAACUGCAUUUCUCCUUGAGGGCAGACCACUCUCCUAGGUAUUGAUCUUAAUAAUAAAGUCUUGCUAUCGUUAUCAAUGACUACUGAUAAUAAAGACAUUAAAUCUUGAAGCUCUAAAGCUAGAAACAUUUAAUGCAGUGAAUUUUAUUUCACAAAUUUUAAAGAAAAAAUCUCCCACAGUAUCUGCUUCUGAGUACCCAAAGAAACAAGGAGCCAGAGGUGUUUCACAAAGCACCUCUGAAGUGUUUAUGUCUGUUUUGAAAACAUAGGAGUACUCCCCUUCACAAGAAGGGCAGAACAUUUCUUAUUCAUUAGUGGAAAAGUAUCUUCAAUGCCUUUUACCCUGUCCAAAUGAUCUUGUUGUUGUCAUGUUGAUUAAAAGUAACAAACUGUUUUCUUACCUGAGGUUAAGCCUCUGUUACUAGAGAAAUGAUGGACAUGGGUGUGUAGUGUUUUGUUGAGAGCUUUUCUAAUUGGGACCCUGCCCAUCUUCUUGAUUUUCAGAAAUCCAAGAAGAAACCUUAAUUUAAAUCAUCACCUCGGAAAUAAAAUAUGAAUGUGUGCGGGGAGAUGUUUUUUAAGAAGUUUGAUUUUGAUAAGAAUUUUUAAUGAAAAGAAACACAAUGACAACUUGAAAGUUUGCAUUUCUUUUUCCCUCUCAUCAUUUGUGUGGUUAAUCUACUGGUUAAACAAUUAGGGCUUCAAACUCCAGUCUUUCUAAUUUAAGAAGUGUUCUCUUUUCCUACUGCCAUAACAACUCUGUCAAUUUUGUAUGUUGCUGUAGCCUCCAGAAUCCUAUAUCAGGAUCAAAUCCUUGUAAUGCAUGUUCCUACGCAGUGAAAUAAAGACAUGUUUUUUCUCUUCCCACUCUCCAGAUUUUCUGUCCUUCACUGUCUUUUAGAGGUAAUAUAAUUUAUGUUUUACAGAAUUAAAAAUAUUACUGUUUUCAUAUAUAUAAUCUCUCAUUCAUCUCUCCCUCUAACAACUCUCUAACUCCCUCAUUUACUUCUUGAACUCUUAUGGUUAUGAGAGCAAAAAUCAGGUUUGGAGAAGUGCUCAAAGGAAUAAAAUAGUAGAGUGUGAGGAAGAGUUAGAAAUGAAACUUUUUGAAAAUUAAUUGAGAGUAAUUUGAAAAGAGCUAUGGACUGUCUAUCACUUCUAUUCUAUUUACAGGUGCCUCUGACUGCACUGCCUUCAUCUUCCUGCUCUCUUUUCUCAUUCUGCACUGCACAGCUCCUCAUCUUAAUGGUCUGCUAUACCCUCAUUUGUAUACCGUGUUUUUUUUUCUUCUGUACCAGUGCUAAACACAUUUCUUUCCCUUGAGCUCUUCCCUUUCUCUCUCCACUGCUCCCUCCUUGCCUGAGAUUUUCAAUCAUCUCAUAGGAGCAGGCUCUGAACUUCCCUGCACUCACCAUGCGGCACCUGCCACGGAAAGAAAAACGCGCUACUCCAUUCAUUUUAGAAAUGAUUUUACAAUACAUCAAGAUAAAAGGGCCUGGGGAUAAACAAGCUCAGAAAUAUUUCAAGAUCAGGUAGACAUAAUUAGAACACAGAAGGUUGAUUAGAUUGUUUCAUUUUGCAACAAUGAGAGUUUAAUCAUGUUGGAAAUUGGUUAUGGGAUUUCUUGUGGAGAUUAGAUAUUUCUAUUGCAUUUUAGCCUCCUUUAAUUACACAAAUAAAUACUCGUUGUUUACUCUAUUUUUUACUCACUUUUUCCCUGCCAGUUUGCAUGCGGUAACCAGACCUGCUGCCCAGCAGUGCACAGGGCUUCCUCACGGCACUUACUGUAGGGGGGAAAGCCACCGCCCUUUGUCUUCCAGGUGAUGGUCGCUCCAUUGCUGGUUCCCUGAUUCCAUCCUCCUUCCAAUCGAAGAUCUGUUCGCUCUGGUCUGAAACACUGAUAUCACAGAAGAAGUCAGUUUUUCCGGUUCAGGCUAUUUAGAAGUGCCAUUCUUGGGCAAAACAGCCAAAAUAAGAAGAAUGUCUCAAUGCACGAGGAUACUGAAUUGCUCAAGCAAUUCAGUGCAAAAAAGAGCAAUGAAGCUGGUGAUGUGACUAGUAAACAAGAUUUAUGAGGAGUGGCUGAGGAUACAUAUACAGGUUAGUAUGGAAAGGAAGAGUCUGAAGGGAGACCUCAUCAUUCUCAACAACAACUUGAACACCUAAAUGAAUGGAAGGUGUAGUGACCAGAGUGUUGGUCUCUUUUCUCAGGUGAGAAAGUGACAGGAGAUGAGGAAACCUUCUUGAGCUGUAUAAGGGGAUGAUUAGAUUGGAAAUUAGGAAUAAUUUCUUCAUGGAGAGGAUGAUAAAGCAUUGGAAAUGGCUGCCCGGGGGAAAAAAAAAGUCUGAAUCCCUGGAGGAGGAAAUUAAGAGAGGUUUGGACAUGGCAGUAAGGGACAAGAUUUAGUGAGGGAUUUGGUCACUUUGAUGAUUGGACUUAGUGAUCUUGGUGGUCUUUUUCAACCUCAAUGAUUGCAUGAUUUCAUAAAGCUACAGCCUCCCCAAAGGAAAGUAAGUUGCCUUCUUUCUGGGCAGAGUGCACUAGUUCCCUACUGGUUUCUGCAUCACUCCUGCUAAGCAUAGGACUGUUGGCUCCUUAGGGGCAUGUAGCAUAGUGGUUCCUUGCUUUUCCUGCUGGAGAACAGCACAUAUGGUAAUAAACAAUGGCAGGUUUAUUAACGCCCACCUGGAUUGCCACUUCUGCAGGCCAGAUUUUAUAUCAUGGACAUACUAAUGUUAAAGUAGUUGCAGCUUGAGUCCUCAUUAUCCUGCAGUAUGACAGAGGAAGUUUAUAAGAUUGCAGGAGACUGAAUGCACUAAGCUAGAAAACAAAUUUGUUGAUUUCCCCUGAGCAUCCCUGUUUUUGUGCCUCUAAGGUCAGUUUCAAGCACAGAUCUAAUCAGAUUCACAUGCUGGCACAUCUUCAGACUAUAGACUUAUCAGAUACCACUACUAUGGCUUUAAUAACAUCUAUCCUUCCAUAACUAUUUCCUGAUUGCAAAUCUUUUAUGUUUUUCCCUGUAUUUUUCUUCUCCAUAGCUCCACCCUGAAGUGUGAAACAUGUCUUUGGUGACACAGGUCUGCAAACAGUCUGCUUCAAAACUGCAGUUUUCAAGAGUAAUGACAGAUUUUAAGCUGCCCAGACCUUAGAGUUGGAGGACCACUGGGAGAAGGGAGUUUGCAUCUGUGGUCACUGAAACUGACAGGUAAAAAAAUUAUCUUCUCAACAUUUAUAAGUCCGUGGGACCUUAUGGAAUUAGCAGACGUUCUAGUUGGACACCUCUCAACAGUUUAUAUAACAAAGGUUGUGAGAGUAUGGUGGGGAUUUGUGCUGACUGGAAGCUAGCCAACGUUAUACCAAUUUGCAUGUAAGAAGAUCCAGGAAGCUACACCUCUUAAUCUAGUCUCAGUCCCUGGAGAAGUUAUGGAGAAGAUUCUCCUGGGUGAUACUGAAAGGCAGUUAAAGAAGAAUGGUUGUAAGGAAGAUCUGAGGAACUACAGGCUUGUUAGCUUGACGUCUGUGCCAAGGAAGGUUAUGGAGCAGAUUGUCUUGAGGGAGAUCAUGCAGCAUGUGCGGGACAACCGGGGAAUCAGUCCUAGCCAGCAUGGGUUCACAAAGGGUAGGUCCUGCUUGGCCAACCUGAUCUCCUUCUACGAUAUACUUACCUGUCUGGUAGACGAGGGAAAGGCUAUUGAUGUAGUUUACCUAGACUUCAGCAAAGCCUUUGAUACUGUCUCCCACAGUAUUCUCCUGCAGAA